CCUACGGGAGGCAGCAGUGGGGAAUAUUGCACAAUGGGGGAAACCCUGAUGCAGCGACGCCGCGUGAGUGAUGAAGUAUUUCGGUAUGUAAAGCUCUAUCAGCAGGGAAGAAAAUGACGGUACCUGACUAAGAAGCCCCGGCUAACUACGUGCCAGCAGCCGCGGUAAUACGUAGGGGGCAAGCGUUAUCCGGAUUUACUGGGUGUAAAGGGAGCGUAGACGGCAGGACAAGUCAGGAGUGAAAUGCCGGGGCUUAACCCCGGAACUGCUUUUGAAACUGUUCAGCUAGAGUGCAGGAGAGGUAAGUGGAAUUCCUAGUGUAGCGGUGAAAUGCGUAGAUAUUAGGAGGAACACCAGUGGCGAAGGCGGCUUACUGGACGAUAACUGACGUUGAGGCUCGAAAGCGUGGGGAGCAAACAGGAGUAGAUACCCUAGUAGUC
rnacentral:rRNA from 1 species